rfam:Felis catus isolate Cinnamon breed Abyssinian chromosome D3, whole genome shotgun sequence.
GCCUGGGUGGCUCAGUCGGUUAAGCAUCUGACUUCGGCUCAGGUCACGACCUCACGGUCCAUGGGUUCGAGCCCCGAGUCAGGCU